GUGCUUGUAGCUCAGUUGGAUAGAGCAACGGCCUUCUAAGCCGUGGGUCGGGGGGUCGAAUCCCUCCAAGCACG
rnacentral:tRNA from 1 species